AGUGUGACCAAAUUAAGUGAGCGAUUUUCUGGUCCGUAGCCAAGAAUGGAGGUCUUGUAGUUUGCCACCGGAAUGAGGGUCUGCC
rnacentral:pre_miRNA from 1 species